UAAGGAAUAUUGGUCAAUGGACGCAGGUCUGAACCAGCCAUGCCGCGUGAAGGAUGAAGGUCCUCUGGAUUGUAAACUUCUUUUAUCUGGGACGAAAACGGGAUUUUUAUCUCAAUUGACGGUACCAGAGGAAUAAGCACCGGCUAACUCCGUGCCAGCAGCCGCGGUAAUACGGAGGGUGCGAGCGUUAUCCGGAUUUACUGGGUUUAAAGGGUGCGUAGGUGGGCUUAUAAGUCAGUGGUGAAAUCUCCGAGCUUAACUUGGAAACUGCCUGUGAUACUAUAGGUCUUGAAUUAUCUGGAGGUAAGCGGAAUAUGUCAUGUAGCGGUGAAAUGCUUAGAUAUGACAUAGAACACNAAUUGCGAAGGCAGCUNACUACAUAUAAAUUGACGCUGANNCNCGAAAGCGUGGGGAU
rnacentral:rRNA from 1 species